GGUGAACGCUGGCGGCGUGCCUAAUACAUGCAAGUCGAGCGAAUGACGAGGAGCUUGCUCCUCUGAUUUAGCGGCGGACGGGUGAGUAACACGUGGGUAACCUGCCUGUAAGACGGGGAUAACUCCGGGAAACCGGAGCUAAUACCGGAUGAUAACGAGAAGCGCCUGCUUCUUUUUUGAAAGUCGGUUUCGGCUGACGCUUACAGAUGGGCCCGCGGCGCAUUAGCUAGUUGGUGAGGUAACGGCUCACCAAGGCAACGAUGCGUAGCCGACCUGAGAGGGUGAUCGGCCACACUGGGACUGAGACACGGCCCAGACUCCGACGGGAGGCAGCAGUAGGGAAUCUUCGGCAAUGGACGAAAGUCUGACCGAGCAACGCCGCGUGAGCGAUAAAGGCCUUCGGGUCGUAAAGCUCUGUUGUCAGAGAAGAACAAGUACCGGAGUAACUGCCGGUACCUUGACGGUACCUGACCAGAAAGCCACGGCUAACUACGUGCCAGCCGCCGCAGUAAAAC
rnacentral:rRNA from 1 species